UCAUUUUUUUUCCUUUACCUUUUCAUUUCCACCGUUUACCCAAACCCAUCUCACAGCUUCUUCGCCGAUGCCGUUUACCCAAACCCAAAUCCAUCACGUUCUCUGUUGCGAGCCAGCAUUUCGUCGAAUGUCUGCCUGACUCAAGAGAAGGUGAUUGGAGACCUCAAUCGUCUGGAUUGGCAAGAGUGUUGUGUUACCACAAUCGAAACCCUAAACUAUUUAUUUCCUGAACAGCGUUUCAAUUUCAUCCCCAAAGCCCAAGCCAAACGGAACCCUUGUGCUUACUGGUGAUGCUUAACGAGAGAGCUUCCAUCCAAGUUCGGCUGGAGGGUUACUGGCGAUGCUUAACGAGAGCUAUCCUCAGUUGAAAUAUCAUGCUCUUUCUAAUUUAAUUAGCUUCGUGACCAAUUUUGGGCUGAGAUCUCCACCAGCGUUCCUAUCAU